AACGAACGCUGGCGGCAUGCCUAACGCAUGCAAGUCGAACGAGAUCUUCGGGUCUAGUGGCGCACGGGUGCGUAACGCGUGGGAAUCUGCCCUUUGGUUCGGAAUAACAGUUGGAAACGACUGCUAAUACCGGAUGAUGACGAAAGUCCAAAGAUUUAUCGCCAGAGGAUGAGCCCGCGUAGGAUUAGCUAGUUGGUGUGGUAAAGGCGCACCAAGGCGACGAUCCUUAGCUGGUCUGAGAGGAUGAUCAGCCACACUGGGACUGAGACACGGCCUAGACUCCUACGGGAGGCAGCAGUGGGGAAUAUUGGACAAUGGGCGAAAGCCUGAUCCAGCAAUGCCGCGUGAGUGAUGAAGGCCUUAGGGUUGUAAAGCUCUUUUACCCGGGAUGAUAAUGACAGUACCGGGAGAAUAAGCUCCGGCUAACUCCGUGCCAGCCGCCGCGGUAA
rnacentral:rRNA from 1 species